CUACGGGGGGCAGCAGUGAGGAAUAUUGCACAAUGGGGGGAACCCUGAUGCAGCAACGCCGCGUGGAGGAUGACGCAUUUCGGUGUGUAAACUCCUUUUAUAUGUCAAGAAAAUGACGGUAGCAUAUGAAUAAGCACCGGCUAACUCCGUGCCAGCAGCCGCGGUAAUACGGAGGGUGCAGGCGUUACUCGGAAUCACUGGGCGUAAAGGACGCGUAGGCGGGUUGGAAAGUCAGGUGUGAAAUCCUACAGCUUAACUGUAGAACUGCACUUGAAACUUCUAAUCUAGAGUAUGGGAGGGGGAGAUGGAAUGAGAGGUGUAGGGGUAAAAUCCGUAGAUAUCACUAGGAAUACCUAAAGCGAAGGCGAUCUCCUGGAACAUUACUGACGCUAAGGCGUGAAAGCGUGGGGAGCAAACAGGAUUAGAUACCCCCGUAGUC
rnacentral:rRNA from 1 species